rfam:Dendroctonus ponderosae Seq01000057, whole genome shotgun sequence.
AGUCUGAGUCGUAGGGUACAGAGGUAAGAUGUUCUAUCUUUCAGACCUUUUACUUCACGUAAUCGGAUUUGGCUGAAUAUUUUAGCCGCCCCAGGCAUUUAUGUCUGGGGCGUUUUUUA